UACGUAGGGUGCAAGCGUUGUCCGGAAUUAUUGGGCGUAAAGAGCUCGUAGGCGGUUUGUCGCGUCGAAUGUGAAAACCCGGGGCUCGACCCCGGGCCUGCAUUCGAUACGGGCAGACUAGAGUUCGGUAGGGGAGUCUGGAAUUCCUGGUGUAGCGGUGAAAUGCGCAGAUAUCAGGAGGAACACCGGUGGCGAAGGCGGGACUCUGGGCCGAUACUGACGCUGAGGAGCGAAAGCGUGGGGAGCAAACGGG
rnacentral:rRNA from 1 species